UUAACUGAAUACAUAGGUUAACGAGGCGAACCGGGGGAACUGAAACAUCUAAGUACCCCGAGGAAAAGAAAUCAACCGAGAUUCCCCCAGUAGCGGCGAGCGAACGGGGAGCAGCCCGGAGUCUGAAUCAGCUUGUGUGUUAGUGGAACGGUCUGGAAAGUCCGACGGUACAGGGUGAUAGUCCCGUACACGAAAGCACACUUGCUGUGAACUCGAAGAGUAGGGCGGGACACGUGGUAUCCUGUCUGAAUAUGGGGGGACCAUCCUCCAAGGCUAAAUACUCCUGACUGACCGAUAGUGAACCAGUACCGUGAGGGAAAGGCGAAAAGAACCCCGGCGAGGGGAGUGAAAAAGAACCUGAAACCGUGUACGUACAAGCAGUGGGAGCCUCUUUAUGGGGUGACUGCGUACCUUUUGUAUAAUGGGUCAGCGACUUAUAUUCUGUAGCAAGGUUAACCGUAUAGGGGAGCCGAAGGGAAACCGAGUCUUAACUGGGCGUUAAGUUGCAGGGUAUAGACCCGAAACCCGGUGAUCUAGCCAUGGGCAGGUUGAAGGUUGGGUAACACUAACUGGAGGACCGAACCGACUAAUGUUGAAAAAUUAGCGGAUGACCUGUGGCUGGGGGUGAAAGGCCAAUCAAACCGGGAGAUAGCUGGUUCUCCCCGAAAGCUAUUUAGGUAGCGCCUCGUGAACUCAUCUUCGGGGGUAGAGCACUGUUUCGGCUAGGGGGCCAUCCCGGCUUACCAACCCGAUGCAAACUACGAAUACCGAAGAAUGUUAUCACGGGAGACACACGGCGGGUGCUAACGUCCGUCGUGAAGAGGGAAACAACCCAGACCGCCAGCUAAGGUCCCAAAGUCAUGGUUAAGUGGGAAACGAUGUGGGAAGGCACAGACAGCCAGGAUGUUGGCUUAGAAGCAGCCAUCAUUUAAAGAAAGCGUAAUAGCUCACUGGUCGAGUCGGCCUGCGCGGAAGAUGUAACGGGGCUAAACCAUGCACCGAAGCUGCGGCAGCGACGCUUAUGCGUUGUUGGGUAGGGGAGCGUUCUGUAAGCCGUUGAAGGUGUGCUGUGAGGCAUGCUGGAGGUAUCAGAAGUGCGAAUGCUGACAUAAGUAACGAUAAAGCGGGUGAAAAGCCCGCUCGCCGGAAGACCAAGGGUUCCUGUCCAACGUUAAUCGGGGCAGGGUGAGUCGACCCCUAAGGCGAGGCCGAAAGGCGUAGUCGAUGGGAAACAGGUUAAUAUUCCUGUACUUGGUGUUACUGCGAAGGGGGGACGGAGAAGGCUAUGUUAGCCGGGCGACGGUUGUCCCGGUUUAAGCAUGUAGGCGGAGGUUCCAGGUAAAUCCGGUACCUUUUAACGCUGAGGUGUGAUGACGAGGCACUACGGUGCUGAAGUAACAAAUGCCCUGCUUCCAGGAAAAGCCUCUAAGCAUCAGGUAACACGAAAUCGUACCCCAAACCGACACAGGUGGUCAGGUAGAGAAUACCAAGGCGCUUGAGAGAACUCGGGUGAAGGAACUAGGCAAAAUGGUGCCGUAACUUCGGGAGAAGGCACGCUGAUAUGUAGGUGAAGCCCCUGCGGGUGGAGCUGAAAUCAGUCGAAGAUACCAGCUGGCUGCAACUGUUUAUUAAAAACACAGCACUGUGCAAACACGAAAGUGGACGUAUACGGUGUGACGCCUGCCCGGUGCCGGAAGGUUAAUUGAUGGGGUUAGCGGCAACGCGAAGCUCUUGAUCGAAGCCCCGGUAAACGGCGGCCGUAACUAUAACGGUCCUAAGGUAGCGAAAUUCCUUGUCGGGUAAGUUCCGACCUGCACGAAUGGCGUAAUGAUGGCCAGGCUGUCUCCACCCGAGACUCAGUGAAAUUGAACUCGCUGUGAAGAUGCAGUGUACCCGCGGCAAGACGGAAAGACCCCGUGAACCUUUACUAUAGCUUGACACUGAACACUGGUCCUUGAUGUGUAGGAUAGGUGGGAGGCUUUGAAGCGUGGACGCCAGUCUGCGUGGAGCCGUCCUUGAAAUACCACCCUUUAAUGGCUGGUGUUCUAACGUUGACCCGUAAUCCGGGUUGCGGACAGUGUCUGGUGGGUAGUUUGACUGGGGCGGUCUCCUCCCAAAGAGUAACGGAGGAGCACGAAGGUUAGCUAAUCCUGGUCGGACAUCAGGAGGUUAGUGCAAUGGCAUAAGCUAGCUUGACUGCGAGAGUGACGGCUCGAGCAGGUGCGAAAGCAGGUCAUAGUGAUCCGGUGGUUCUGAAUGGAAGGGCCAUCGCUCAACGGAUAAAAGGUACUCCGGGGAUAACAGGCUGAUACCGCCCAAGAGUUCAUAUCGACGGCGGUGUUUGGCACCUCGAUGUCGGCUCAUCACAUCCUGGGGCUGAAGUAGGUCCCAAGGGUAUGGCUGUUCGCCAUUUAAAGUGGUACGCGAGCUGGGUUUAGAACGUCGUGAGACAGUUCGGUCCCUAUCUGCCGUGGGCGCUGGAGAAUUGAGGGGGGCUGCUCCUAGUACGAGAGGACCGGAGUGGACGCAUCACUGGUGUUCGGGUUGUCAUGCCAAUGGCACUGCCCGGUAGCUAAAUGCGGAAGAGAUAAGUGCUGAAAGCAUCUAAGCACGAAACUUGCCCCGAGAUGAGUUCU
rnacentral:rRNA from 1 species